AUACGGAGGGUGCAAGCGUUGUUCGGAAUCACUGGGCGUAAAGGGCGCGCAGGCGGUUUGGUAAGUCAGAUGUGAAAGCCCACGGCUCACCCGUGGAAGUGCAUUUGAAACUGUCAGACUUGAGUACUAGAGGGGAAAGUGGAAUUCCCGGUGUAGAGGUGAAAUUCGUAGAUAUCGGGAGGAAUACCGGUGGCGAAGGCGACUUUCUGGCUAGAUACUGACGCUGAGGCGCGAAAGCGUGGGGAGCAAACAGGAUUAGAAACCCGGGUAGUCC
rnacentral:rRNA from 1 species